ACUCGCGCUGCCUCCGUGGUCCCUGCCUGGCUGAGGUGGCAGCAGGGGGCGGGACGCGCAGCGCUAUGGCAGAGGGCAGCGGGGAAGUGGUCGCAGUGUCUGCGACCGGGGCUGCCAACGGCCUCAACAAUGGGGCAGGCGGGACCUCGGCGACGACCUGCAACCCGCUGUCGCGCAAGCUGCAUAAGAUCCUGGAGACGCGGCUGGACAACGACAAGGUGCCUUCAAGGCUCUCUGGAUGGGAUUGGUGAACGGUGGUGCCUCGAGAAGUGUCCUCCAAACACCCCUGGAGGCGUUUGGCUGUGUGAGCUGGGAGAGUGGAGGAGAGCACAAGACUGGAUAUGAAACAGAUGCAAAAGAGCAGAUUCCAAGAUAAGGAAUUAGGAAUCCUGCUGUUAAGUUUCUCAUGGUUGUUAUUUGAGGACUCAGUGAGAGACUCCAGGAGAUGUUAGAAGCUCUCAAGGCACUUUCAACCUUUUUUGUUGAAAAUAGUCUGCGGACUCGAAGAAAUUUACGUGGAGAUAUUGAACGUAAAAGUUUAGCCAU
rnacentral:lncRNA from 10 species